AUUGAACGCUGGCGGCGGGCCUACCACAUGCAAGUCGGGCGACCGGCGGACGGGUGAGUAAUGUAUGGGGACUGCCUGAUGGCGGGGGCUAACUACUGGAAACGGUAGCUAAUACCGCAUACCAUCAUAUAACCCAUCUGGGAUUAGCUAGUAGGUAAGGUAACGGCUUACCUAGGCGACGCUCCCUAGAUGGUCUGAGACGAUGAUCAGCAACACUGGGACUGAGAUACGGCCCAGACUCCUACGGAGGAAGCAGUGGGGAAUAUUGCACAAUGGGCGCAAGCCUGAUGCAGCCAUGCCCCGUGUAUGAAGAAGGCCUUCGGGUUGUAAAGUACUUUCAGUCGGGAGGCGUUACCGACAGAAGAAGAACCGGCUAACUCCGUGCCAGCAGCCGCGGUAAUAC
rnacentral:rRNA from 1 species